UACGAGGGGGGCAAGCGUUGUCCGGAAUUAUUGGGCGUAAAGCGCGCGCAGGCGGUCCUUUAAGUCUGAUGUGAAAGCCCACGGCUCAACCGUGGAGGGUCAUUGGAAACUGGGGGACUUGAGUGCAGAAGAGGAAAGCGGAAUUCCACGUGUAGCGGUGGAAAUGCGUAGAGAUGUGGAGGAACACCAGUGGCGAAGGCGGCUUUCUGGUCUGUAACUGACGCUGAGGCGCGAAAGCGUGGGGAGCAAACAGG
rnacentral:rRNA from 1 species